rnacentral:rRNA from 1 species
CGGACGGGUGAGUAAUGUCUGGGAAACUGCCCGAUGGAGGGGGAUAACUACUGGAAACGGUAGCUAAUACCGCAUAACGUCGCAAGACCAGAGAGGGGGACCUUAGGGCCUCUUGCCAUCGGAUGUGCCCAGAUGGGAUUAGCUAGUAGGUGGGGUAAUGGCUCACCUAGGCGACGAUCCCUAGCUGGUCUGAGAGGAUGACCAGCCACACUGGAACUGAGACACGGUCCAG